AUGGUGCGGAGAGCAAGAGCGAUAAGCAUGUCACCAUCAAAUGAUAUCCCUCCUAAGCCACCACUUGGCGCCCCACUGACUGUUCCAACAGGCAAUGCUGCUCGCAGUGCAUCCCAGCUUUCAAGGCGAUCAUCUAACUCUCCACUGACCUGCAUAGUGUUCAAAGUGAAAUUACAUUGGUGUUCGACAUAA
rnacentral:rRNA from 1 species